ACAAGUGUUUUGGGUGUGAUCCAUGAAGGAAUUAAACUGAUAUUUGAAGGAUGUGUCACGUUUUGUGUGAUCGGUUGGGUGCUGAGAAGUUUUUAGAAAGUUUUUUUUUCCCAGUAGAUCGCUGGCACAUGAUGACGAUGUUGAGCUGACUUUUGCCGAUUGACGCCAGCUCGUCUGAGUUUGUUGGCAUUGGACAGAAAGGUCACGACGAGUCAUCUCAUGUCAUCUCAUCUCACUCAUCUCAUCUCAUUCCGACCAGGUGACGCAGGUGAGCUCGCUCCAUCGGGCACAUGUGAAACUUUUCGCCGCUCUUGUGGCGCAAGCAUGAACAUGUUUCGGAAAGAAAAACGCUCGGCAGCAGCAGCAGCCACCACUCCGUCGCUGCCGCCGAGGCCCGGCAAACAGGUCGGGACGGACCAGAGUGGGUUGGGGGGCCUGCCGGCAGGAUUUGGUGCAACGGUUGAGCCGCAGGAUGAGGCCGAGGCGCAGGCUGAGUCGAUGGCGCAGAACCUUGAUGCACAGGAUACAGCUGCGACUCAGCAGGGAAGCAACCGCAAAGCCGCAGGUCUCCCAAAGUCCAAGAAGACGCGGGUGAUGGGUGUGAUGCAGAAAGUCAACCCGUUCAAGAGUUCUUCGUCACAGACCCCUUCCGCAGUUACUGCUGAUUCACCUGAACUGGGAACAGACACCACGCAGAACCCGGGAAUGCUGAAAGGGAUGAUUCAGAAAGUCAACCCGUUCAAGUCUUCAGCACAGGCGGCUAACAAGGAGCCUCAGGAGGAGUCUACAGAAACCCAACAGACAGAAUUGGAUGGAAAAGAGAACCCCGGAAUGCUCGCGAGUGUUAUACAGAAGGUCAACCCGUUCAAAUCCUGGCAGUCAAAGCCCGACACCGCCCCUGGCCAAGAAAGCCUGACGGACAACCUGCCCGAGAAGCCGGUAGAGACACCACACGAGGAGACGGACUCUGUGGCAUCUGUGAAGCAGGACGGGGCAUCGUGGCCCGGCCCCGAGAGCUCAGACGCCGACACCGUCGCGGAGACACGUUCUGUUUGGUACGUAGAUGAGCCCAGUAGCAAUGAGCUGAACAGCCGAGCGAAUGAGCAGCCGAAGAAACGAAAGAAGACCUUCAGAAUCAAAAGAAUUCUUCCCACUGCACUGUUUCGCUCAGGUGCAAAGCAGGACUCAGACGCCCGCACUGAGGAGGUGGAGAUCCAACCGCUGGAGAUGGUCGACAUGCCCGCGUUGGACGACGCCAGUGCCACGGACCCGCUGGAGGAUGAAGACGGACUCCUGGCGUGGUGGAGAACAGUUGACGGGUGGAGCGAGUGGAAUGAGACCACCCAAGACCACCAGUCUGAAGAGGUGGUGGAAGAAGCGGCGGACCGCGUAUUCAUGGCGGCGCGCCUGUUCGUGCGCCUGUUCAACCAGCGCGGCGCAUCGCUCCAGCAGCGCGUCCUGGCGCUGUUGGCGCUGGCCGACGCCGCCGACAACUUCCACAAGAAGACGGUCUCGGCCAGCGUGGGCGGCGGGGUGGUCGGCGUGGCCGGCUCUGUCACCACCAUCACGGGACUCAUCCUGGCCCCGUUCACGGCCGGAACGUCGCUCAUCGUCACGGCGGUGGGCAUCGGCGUGGCCACGGCGGGCGGCCUCACCUCCGCCUCCGCCAACAUCACCGACACGGUGCAUUCCAAGACGGAUCGCAAGAAAGUGGAGAAGAUGAUCCAGGACUACCAGGAGGAGAUGAACGACAUCAAAGACUGUCUCCAGUUCUUACAGUUCUGACAGCGUUUUGGAACCAAUGUCCCCAAAAUUGGUCUUCAUUUUGUUAUUGGCUGGCGUGUUUAUGGCUGCCUAUGGCCAAGAUGACCCGGCUGAUGACGGCUCAGGCGACCAGGACGACGACAAUGGCUCAGGCGACCAGGAUGACGACGACGGCUCAGGCGACCAGGAUGACUCAGCUCCCCCAACCGUGCCGCCGGUUGCCACCACAAGCCGCGCCAGCCACCAGCAGAAUCACUCCCUUACAAAAGCUCUGCUUAUCACGGUGGCUCUGCUGGCUGUGCUUGCACUGUGAAAGUCUCAAGUGCACCUAACAUCUCAAUGGUUUUUAUUUUUUCUUGCUCCAUUUCGGCUCACUGUCUCCUUUUGGAAGGCAGCUUUUAUUUUCAAGAUGUUUUUAUUUGAUUAUGAUGGAAGUGAUCCAAUUGAAAUAAUCCACAUUCAGUCUUGUAUAAAUUGAUAUACGUCCAUAUUUGAUAAUUUAUCAUUACAAACUUGCACAAGAGA